UUCCGGUUGAUCCCGCCGGAGGCUACUGCUAUCGGAAUUCGAUUAAGCCAUGCGAGUCGAGAGGGUUCGGCCCUCGGCUGACGGCUCAGUAACACGUGGAUAACUUGCCCUCAGGUAGGGGAUAAUCUCGGGAAACUGAGGAUAAUACCCUAUAAACAUCCUUUGCUGGAAUGCUUGGAUGUUCAAAGGCAACGCCUGAGGAUAGGUCUGCGGCCUAUCAGGUUGUAGUGGGUGUAACGGACCCACUAGCCCGCGACGGGUACGGGCCUUGAAAGAGGUAGCCCGGAGAUGGACUCUGAGACACGAGUCCAGGCCCUACGGGGCGCAGCAGGCGCGAAAACUUCGCAAUGCGGGAAACCGUGACGAGGGAAUUCCGAGUGCUCAUACAAUGUAUGGGCUUUUCUUAUGUGUAAAAAGCAUGAGGAAUAAGGGCUGGGUAAGACCGGUGCCAGCCGCCGCGGUAAUACCGGCAGCUCUAGUGGUAGCCACUUUUAUUGGGCCUAAAGCGUCCGUAGCCGGUCGGGUAAAUCCUUGGGUAAAUCGUACAGCUCAACUGUGCGGCUUCCGGGGAGACUGCCCGACUUGGGACCGGGAGAGGUUGGAGGUACUCCUGGGGUAGGGGUGAAAUCCUGUAAUCCUAGGUGGACCACCGGUGGCGAAGGCGUCCAACCAGAACGGCUCCGACGGUGAGGGACGAAGGCUAGGGGCGCAAACCGGAUUAGAUACCCGGGUAGUCCUAGCUGUAAACGCUGCAGACUUGGUGUUGGAGAUCCCACGAGGGUGUCCAGUGCCGGAGAGAAGUUGUUAAGUUUGCCGCCUGGGAAGUAUGGCCGCAAGGCUGAAACUUAAAGGAAUUGGCGGGGGAGCACCGCAACGGGAGGAGCGUGCGGUUUAAUUGGAUUCAACGCCGGGA
rnacentral:rRNA from 1 species